GACGAACCGUGCGAACGUUGUUCGGAAUCACUGGGCUUAAAGGGCGCGUAGGCGGGCCGCAAAGUCAGGGGUGAAAUCCUCCAGCUCAACUGGAGAACUGCUUUUGAUACUGGCGGUCUUGAGUGGGGUAGGGGCAUGCGGAACAAGUGGUGGAGCGGUGAAAUGCGUAGAUAUCACUUGGAACGCCAACGGUGAAAACAGCUCGCUGGGGAUGUACUGACGCUGAGACACGAAAGCCAGGGGAGCAAACGGG
rnacentral:rRNA from 1 species